GACGAACGCUGGCGGCGUGCUUAACACAUGCAAGUCGAACGGAAAGGCCUCUUUCGGGGGGUACUCGAGUGGCGAACAGGUGAGUAACACGUGAGUAACCUGCCCUUGACUUUGGGAUAACUUCAGGAAACUGGGGCUAAUACCGGAUAGGAGCUCCUGCUGCAUGGUGGGGGUUGGAAAGUUUCGGCGGUUGGGGAUGGACUCGCGGCUUAUCAGCUUGUUGGUGGGGUAGUGGCUUACCAAGGCUUUGACGGGUAGCCGGCCUGAGAGGGUGACCGGCCACAUUGGGACUGAGAUACGGCCCAGACUCCUACGGGAGGCAGCAGUGGGGAAUAUUGCACAAUGGAUGGAAGCCUGAUGCAGCAACGCCGUGUGCGGGAUGACGGCCUUCGGGUUGUAAACCGCUUUCGCUCAUGACGAAGCUUUGUGUGACGGUAGUGGGUAAAGAAGCACCGGCUAACUACGUG
rnacentral:rRNA from 1 species